rnacentral:rRNA from 1 species
GACGAACGCUGGCGGCGUGCCUAAUACAUGCAAGUCGAGCGCAGGAAGUCAUCCGAACCCUUCGGGGGGACGUUGACGGAAUGAGCGGCGGACGGGUGAGUAACACGUAAAGAACCUGCCCUCAGGUCUGGGAUAACCACGAGAAAUCGGGGCUAAUACCGGAUGGGUCAUCGGACCGCAUGGUCCGAGGAUGAAAGGCGCUCCGGCGUCGCCUGGGGAUGGCUUUGCGGUGCAUUAGCUAGUUGGUGGGGUAAUGGCCCACCAAGGCGACGAUGCAUAGCCGACCUGAGAGGGUGGUCGGCCACACUGGGACUGAGACACGGCCCAGACUCCUACGGGAGGCAGCAGUAGGGAAUCUUCCACAAUGGACGAAAGUCUGAUGGAGCAACGCCGCGUGAACGAUGAAGGCCCUCGGGUCGUAAAGUUCUGUUGUAAGGGAAGAACAAGUGCCGCAGGCAAUGGCGGCACCUUGACGGUACCUUGCGAGAAAGCCACGGCUAACUACGUG